UUCCCUAGCAGAAUGGAAUGACAAUCCCUGCUCCCAUAGGCUUGUGAGGGUCAAGUGAGGAACCCCGUUGCCACAUGUAUGAAUACCUGAGUACACACCCCCUCCACCUCUUCCCUCCAGGAGAAUAAGCUGGCAACCUGGGACAGGAUGAGUGAGAAUGGGGAGCCUCUUUCUGUGGCUUCUGCCUUGUGCUGGAGUGAAGAUAGCCUGGGCAGGAUGCAGGUUCAAAGGCCCGGCAUCAUCCCUUACUGCGCUGCUCCUCAUAGCUGUCCUCCUGGGCCCCAUCUACGUCCCCUGGAAGCAGAAGACCUGACUCUCCUUCCUUCCUCCCCUGCCACGUGGGACCCUCAUCUCUGCUGCCUCCUUCCUUUCCUGAGAGGCUCAGCUUGAGAGAAUGAGCCAGUGAGAAGCUUCUCUAGACUUGG
rnacentral:lncRNA from 1 species